GAUGAACGCUGGCGGCGUGCCUAAUACAUGCAAGUCGAGCGAACGGACGAGAAGCUUGCUUUUCUGAUGUUAGCGGCGGACGGGUGAGUAACACGUGGAUAACCUACCUAUAAGACUGGGAUAACUUCGGGAAACCGGAGCUAAUACCGGAUAAUAUUUUGAACCGCAUGGUUCAAAAGUGAAAGACGGUCUUGCUGUCACUUAUAGAUGGAUCCGCGCUGCAUUAGCUAGUUGGUAAGGUAACGGCUUACCAAGGCAACGAUGCAUAGCCGACCUGAGAGAGUGAUCGGCCACACUGGACCUGAAACACGGUCCAGACUCCUACGGGAGGCAGCAGUAGGGAAUCUUCCGCAAUGGGCGAACGCCUGACGGAGCAACGCAGCGUGCGUGAUGAAGGUCUUCGGAUCGUAAAACUCUGUUAUUAGGGAAAAACAUAUGUGUACGUAACUGUGCACAUCUUGACGGUACCUAAUCAGAAAGCCCCGGCUAACUACGUG
rnacentral:rRNA from 1 species